rnacentral:rRNA from 1 species
AAGAGAGAGACAUGCGCGCAUAUCAAUAAGCGGAGGAAAAGAAACUAACAAGGAUUCCCUUAGUAACGGCGAGUGAAGCGGGAAGAGCUCAAAUUUGAAAUCUUCAAGGUUUACCUUGACGAAUUGUAGUUUAAAGAAGUGUUUUCUGCUGAAGUUUUGGUAAAAGUUCUUUGGAAUAGGACAUCAUAGAGGGUGAGAAUCCCGUAUUUGACCAUUAUUUUCAGCUUUGUGAUACACUUUCAAAGAGUCGGAUUGUUUGGGAAUGCAGUCCAAAAUGGGUGGUAAAUUUCAUCUAAAGCUAAAUAUUGGCGAGAGACCGAUAGCGAACAAGUACCGUGAGGGAAAGAUGAAAAGAACUUUGAAAAGAGAGUUAAACAGUACGUGAAAUUGUCAAAAGGGAAGCGUUUGACACCAGUGUUGUUUUCUCGAAAAUCAAUUAAAAAUGGCUCGAUUUUGUAUUGCUGAGACCUUAAAAGCUCACUGUACAUUUUUCGUGUCUUUUUUAAUGCACUUUUCGUUUAACAAGGUCAACAUCAGUUUCUUUUGUUGUAAAAGGGUCAUUGGAAGGUGGCUUUCUUUUCGGAGAAAGUGUUUAUAGCCUUUGGCCUCUGCAAUCGGAAGAGACUGAGGUCUGCAGCGUAGACUCUUCGGGGUUAGAUACAUUUGUGCUAAGUUAUAGCUUUUUAUAGACAACUUGUUGACUAUAAUUAGUCUUGUAGCUUACUCGCUUAUGCUAUUUUACCUACGCUUAGGAUGUUGAGUCGUAGAGCACGCAG